AGACUGUGAAUGGAAGAGGAUGGACACAGUUACAUUUUGCUUCAGUUCUUACCAUUACUCAAAACUGGAUCUGUCAUUGCCUAUGAUAGGGUUUAGAAUGAAGGGGAUUGUGAUAUUGGAUGCUCAUAGUCUGAAGACCAGUUUCCAACAAAGACCAAACACAGGAAUUGUCAGAGUAAUUCGCAGCGUAGCAGCAGUUGUAUGUUGUCAAUGGAGCGCAGAACAAAGAAACGUCAGAAACGAUGUUAAAAAGUAUAUACAAAACUUUACUUUACAAAACAAAACAGAAUUGCAGACGAACACAGGCUUUGCUUUCACUCUAGGCAGACACAAAUUCAGAACAGAGCAAGAUCUCAACUGAUGCAAUCAGUAAUGUACAAACACACUUGAGUCUGGAUACUCCCCAGACACAUCAAGGUCAAUACAGCUUCUCAGUCAUUAACUCUUUACAGACUAGAGGAAGGAUGAGGGGAAAAAACAUGGCAGCACCUUUCAGACUAAUUUUUAAUUUUUUUGCAGAAAUGUUUAUAAAUAUUAGCAUACUCUUUUCAGAUGUAGUACCAAGUAGUAUUAAGUCUCUCGUACAAAGUAUAUUUUAUACAGCUGUGGGAGUAGAGUAGAAUGUAAUAGGAUCCAGAAAAAUGCAAAUCAUGACUCUUGUCCUAAAAAUGGAAAGGGCUGGACAAUAGAGUUGUGCAUGGAUUCAGUUUCCUUUGGUACCUCCGGGAGCCCGUAACAAUAAGGUCCCUCCCGGUAUGAAAACAAGUGGGAGCCAGUCUCAGCUCCUCCUCCCGUAUUCGGCACCACAGUAGAAUCUUUUUUAUUUUCCUUUAUUUUCCUGAUUCUUUUUAUUUAGUGGGACUGACUGGGAGUUGGGGAUCUGAGAGACGGUAGAUGGGGUGCGCAUGCAUUUAGGGAAAGGAAAAGCUCCCAGGGGAAAGGGGAGCCUUGUAAGUUCCCCAUUGUCGUCAAUCAGUCGAAAAGAUUCUUCUUUUUUUUCCGGAUGCAGAAUGAAAAUGCCAAUUCGACAGCACAUCCAUUUUUGGGAGGUGCUGAAAACUGAAUAUUGGGAGGCUUCCGGUAUCUGGCAAGCAGAAAUGGAAAGUGAUUCACCCGAAAUGCACAAGCCUACUGGAUAAACCUGAAAUGCUCAUUGCUGAAAUUUAUAAGUACAACUACAAGUUAAAGAGCUUUGGAAGACUGGCCAACGAUCUGAUCCAGCAAAAGUAUAGCCACAAAAAGGAGAAUCAGACAUCCUUUUUGUGCCAUAGCUUUCUUCGGAGUGUGAGUAAGCGUUCUUCAAGACUAGCUGGCAGUUUCUGAAUUAUAAACAUCCAACUUACAAACAAAUCAUAGUUAAGAAUGGGGGUGAGACAACAGGAAGAGACAGAAAUCUACCCCUUGGAAGGGAAAUUCACUUCUGGAAGAGUUAUUAUCAU